rnacentral:rRNA from 1 species
AUUGAACGCUGGCGGAAUGCUUUACACAUGCAAGUCGAACGGCAGCACGGGGGCAACCCUGGUGGCGAGUGGCGAACGGGUGAGUAAUACAUCGGAACGUGCCCGGUCGUGGGGGAUAACGUAGCGAAAGUUACGCUAAUACCGCAUACGAUCUGAGGAUGAAAGCGGGGGACCUUCGGGCCUCGCGCGAUCGGAGCGGCCGAUGUCAGAUUAGGUAGUUGGUGGGGUAAAGGCCUACCAAGCCGACGAUCUGUAGCUGGUCUGAGAGGACGACCAGCCACACUGGGACUGAGACACGGCCCAGACGCCUACGGGAGGCAGCAGUGGGGAAUUUUGGACAAUGGGCGCAAGCCUGAUCCAGCCAUUCCGCGUGCAGGACGAAGGCCUUCGGGUUGUAAACUGCUUUUGUAUGGAACGAAAAGGCUCUGGCUAAUACCUGGGGCUCAUGACGGUACCGGAAGAAUAAGCACCGGCUAACUACGUG